rnacentral:rRNA from 1 species
AAUGCUCAGAAUGAACGCUGGCGGCGUGCCUAAUACAUGCAAGUCGAGCGAAUGGAUUAAGAGCUUCUGCUCUUAUGAAGUUAGCGGCGGACGGGUGAGUAACACGUGGGUAACCUGCCCAUAAGACUGGGAUAACUCCGGGAAACCGGGGCUAAUACCGGAUAACAUUUUGAACCGCAUGGUUCGAAAUUGAAAGGCGGCUUCGGCUGUCACUUAUGGAUGGACCCGCGUCGCAUUAGCUAGUUGGUGAGGUAACGGCUCACCAAGGCAACGAUGCGUAGCCGACCUGAGAGGGUGAUCGGCCACACUGGGACUGAGACACGGCCCAUAUUCCUACGGGAGGCAACAGUAGGGAAUCUUCAGCAAUGGACGAGAGUCGGACCGCACAACGCCGCAUGAUGACGAACCUUUCCCCUCGUGGGGGGAAAAAGGGGCAA